AUUGAACGUUGGCGGCAUGCCUUACACAUGCAAGUCGAACGGCAGCACGGGAGCAAUCCUGGUGGCGAGUGGCGAACGGGUGAGUAAUGUAUCGGAACGUGCCUAGUAGUGGGGGACAACCAUUCGAAAGAGUGGCUAAUACCGCAUACGCACUCUGGUGGAAAGUGGGGGAUCGCAAGACCUCACGCUAUUAGAGCGGCCGAUAUCAGUUUAGGUAGUUGGUGGGGUAAAGGCCUACCAAGCCUGCGAUCUGUAGCUGGUCUGAGAGGACGACCGACAAAAUUGGGCAUGAGCAACGGCCCAGACUCCUACGGGAGGCAGCAGUGGGGAAUUUGGGACAAUGGGGGCAAGCCUGAUCCAGCCAUGCCGCGUGUGGGAAGAAGGCCUUCGGGUUGUAAACCACUUUUGUCAGGGAAGAAACGGCUCUAGCUAAUAUCUGGGGCUAAUGACGGUACCUGAAGAAUAAGCACCGGCUAACUACGUGCCAGCCGCCGCAGUAA
rnacentral:rRNA from 1 species